CUCUGUGACUCCUACGGGAGGCAGCAGUGGGGAAUAUUGCACAAUGGGCGCAAGCCUGAUGCAGCCAUGCCGCGUGUAUGAAGAAGGCCUUCGGGUUGUAAAGUACUUUCAGCAGUGAGGAAGGUAUCGUAGUUAAUAGCUGCGGUAUUUGACGUUAGCUGCAGAAGAAGCACCGGCUAACUCCGUGCCAGCAGCCGCGGUAAUACGGAGGGUGCGAGCGUUAAUCGGAAUUACUGGGCGUAAAGCGCAUGCAGGUGGUUUGUUAAGUCAGAUGUGAAAGCCCGGGGCUCAACCUCGGAAUUGCAUUUGAAACUGGCAGACUAGAGUACUGUAGAGGGGGUAGAAUUUCAGGUGUAGCGGUGAAAUGCGUAGAGAUCUGAAGGAAUACCGGUGGCGAAGGCGGCCCCCUGGACAGAUACUGACACUCAGAUGCGAAAGCGUGGGGAGCAAACAGGAUUAGACACCCUGGUAA
rnacentral:rRNA from 1 species